rnacentral:rRNA from 1 species
CGGUCUGUCAAGUCGGAUGUGAAAUCCCCGGGCUCAACCUGGGAACUGCAUUCGAAACUGGCAGGCUAGAGUCUUGUAGAGGGGGGUAGAAUUCCAGGUGUAGCGGUGAAAUGCGUAGAGAUCUGGAGGAAUACCGGUGGCGAAGGCGGCCCCCUGGACAAAGACUGACGCUCAGGUGCGAAAGCGUGGGGAGCAAACAGGAUUAGAUACCCUGGUAGUCCACGCCGUAAACGAUGUCGACUUGGAGGUUGUGCCCUUGAGGCGUGGCUUCCGGAGCUAACGCGUUAAGUCGACCGCCUGGGGAGUACGGCCGCAAGGUUAAAACUCAAAUGAAUUGACGGGGGCCCGCACAAGCGGUGGAGCAUGUGGUUUAAUUCGAUGCAACGCGAAGAACCUUACCUACUCUUGACAUCCAGAGAACUUUCCAGAGAUGGAUUGGUGCCUUCGGGAACUCUGAGACAGGUGCUGCAUGGCUGUCGUCAGCUCGUGUUGUGAAAUGUUGGGUUAAGUCCCGCAACGAGCGCAACCCUUAUCCUUUGUUGCCAGCGGUUAGGCCGGGAACUCAAAGGAGACUGCCAGUGAUAAACUGGAGGAAGGUGGGGAUGACGUCAAGUCAUCAUGGCCCUUACGAGUAGGGCUACACACGUGCUACAAUGGCGCAUACAAAGAGAAGCGACCUCGCGAGAGCAAGCGGACCUCAUAAAGUGCGUCGUAGUCCGGAUUGGAGUCUGCAACUCGACUCCAUGAAGUCGGAAUCGCUAGUAAUCGUAGAUCAGAAUGCUACGGUGAAUACGUUCCCGGGCCUUGUACACACCGCCCGUCACACCAUGGGAGUGGGUUGCAAAAGAAGUAGGUAGCUUAACCUUCGGGAGGGCGCUUACCACUUUGUGAUUCAUGACUGGGGUGAAGUCGUAACAAGGUAACCGUAGGGGAACCUGCGGC